GGUUGACGGUACACAACAGAUGCGCCGGUGUGUCGGCGUUCGAAACCGUUGACGGUGGUAGUAUCGCGUGAUCAGCCCAUCAAAUUAUGUUGCCAGGUAGAAGCUGAUCCGGAGACGCUGAGUUUCCCCUGGACGUUGUCGAACGGUCGUGAGACAACGCUGCUGCCCCGAGAAAUGUCUUCCGAUUUCGGAUUAACCAGCAUCCUGGUGUACACUCCGCGACGAGACGCCGAUUUCGGCGAGUUUCAGUGCUGGGCGUUGAACGACAUUGGCCAACAGAAAGAGCCGUGUCGAUUCAAAAUCGCCAAAGAAGGGCUGCCGCCGACGCCGACCCAGUGCGUGCUGCAGAGUUUGUCGAAGGGCGUCCUGGAAGUGAAAUGUCGAAAACAGUUCCAAAGGCAAUGCCGAAAAAGAGACGGAGGACAGCAGUGAGAGUGGCAGUGGCGAUAGCGACAGCAAAGAUGAAGUCGGCGACGACGAGGACGAAGACGUGCUGGUCAGCGGCUCCUCCAACGUCUAUGGGUUGCAGCUGUACAACGUCGACACUGGCAUUUUGCUGCGUAACAUGAGCAACAAAAUCGCAUCGCAUUUCAGCCUGCCGGGCAUCGACCCUAGCACGCGCGUCACCGCCAUUGUUAUGACAAUUAAUAAACAAGGUCGAAGCGCAGCCGUUACAUUGGAAGGAGCUGUUGAACGGGCAGUCGGAUCCC